CCUACGGGAGGCUGCAGUGAGGAAUAUUGGUCAAUGGACGAGAGUCUGAACCAGCCAAGUAGCGUGAAGGAUGACUGCCCUAUGGGUUGUAAACUUCUUUUAUAUGGGAAUAAAAUGUUCCACGUGUGGGAUUUUGUAUGUACCAUAUGAAUAAGGAUCGGCUAACUCCGUGCCAGCAGCCGCGGUAAUACGGAGGAUCCGAGCGUUAUCCGGAUUUAUUGGGUUUAAAGGGAGCGUAGGUGGAUUGUUAAGUCAGUUGUGAAAGUGUGCGGCUCAACCGUAGAACUGCAGUUGAAACUGGGAGUCUUGAGUACAGUAGAGGUGGGCGGAAUGCGUGGUGUAGCGGUGAAAUGCUUAGAUAUCACGAAGAACUCCGAUUGCGAAGGCAGCCCACUGUACUGCAACUGACACUGAGGCUCGAAAGUGUGGGUAUCAAACAGGAUUAGAUACCCUAGUAGUC
rnacentral:rRNA from 1 species